GCCAGUGUGGCAUAGCGGUUUGAGUGCUGGGCUACAGCUCUGGAGACCAGGUUCAAUUCCCAGCUCGGCCA